GUUCCAGAACAGGAGAGCUCGUUCCAAAAGAAAGCAAGCAGCUUUACCACCAAUACCAAACGAUCAUGUCUAUUCUGCCAAAGACCAGAAAACCAAACCUGAUGAUACCCAUGUGGAUGAAAAUUUGGCACUCAUGCUCAAUCAUAUGUACUUCCAGGGUCCUGAUAUAGGAGGUACCCAAACAUUUUCUUUAUUGGCUUUAUCAGGUAUCUGAAUCAUGCAAUGUCCUUUAGAGCUAUUGGCCUAUGUGUUUGUGUGUGCAUGUGAAGGGAUUGACCGGUUAAUUGGCCAAACGGAAGUCCCAGUGAGCUAUAAUUCUUACUUGCAGAUGGAGGAACAUGAUGAUUAUUGAUUGAAAAAGAUGGUAGGGAGAACCAGCCAGAGAACUUAUACGACCAAAGAUAACAUAUAUAUUAUAAAAGAUUAGAGAAGACAUUUAUUAUCAUGUUUCUUAGGUCAUUGGAUCUAUUGAUUAUGGCAUGUAAGAUCCUUCAGCUUGACAAGUCUAAUUCCAAU
rnacentral:misc_RNA from 1 species